rnacentral:rRNA from 1 species
GACGAACGCUGGCGGCGUGCUUAACACAUGCAAGUCGAACGGAAAGGCCCUGCUUGCAGGGUACUCGAGUGUCGAACGGGUGAGUAACACGUGGGUGAUCUGCCCUGCACUUCGGGAUAAGCCUUGGGAACUGGGUCUAAUACCGGAUAGGAGCCAUUUUUCUGGUUGGGGUUGGAAAGUUUUUUCGGUGUAGGAUGGGCUCGCGGCCUAUCUGCUUGUUGGUGGGGUAAUGGCCUACCAAGGCGGGGACGGGUAGCCGGCCUGAGAGGGUGGACGGCCACAAUGGGGCUGAGAUACGGCCCAGAACCCUACGGGGGGCAGCAGUGGGGAAAAUUGCACAAUGGGCGCGAGCCUGAUGCCGCGAAGCCGGGUGGGGGAUGAAGGGCUUCGGGUUGUAAACUCCUUUCGCUAGGGACGAAGCUUUUUGUGACGGUACCUAGAUAAGAAGCACCGGCUAACUACGUG